rnacentral:rRNA from 1 species
GUGGGGAAUAUUGGACAAUGGGCGAAAGCCUGAUCCAGCCAUGCCGCGUGUGUGAAGAAGGCCUUUUGGUUGUAAAGCACUUUAAGCGAGGAGGAGGGCACUUAGGUUAAUACCCUGAUGUGUCGGACGUUACUCGCAGAAUAAGCACCGGCUAACUCUGUGCCAGCAGCCGCGGUAAUACAGAGGGUGCGAGCGUUAAUCGGAAUUACUGGGCGUAAAGCGCGCGUAGGCGGUUAUGUAAGUUGGAUGUGAAAUCCCCGGGCUUAACCUGGGCACUGCAUUCAAAACUGCAUAGCUAGAGUAUGGGAGAGGAAGGUAGAAUUCCAGGUGUAGCGGUGAAAUGCGUAGAGAUCUGGAGGAAUACCGAUGGCGAAGGCAGCCUUCUGGCCUAAUACUGACGCUGAGGUGCGAAAGCAUGGGGAGCAAACAGGAUUAGAAACCCGAGUAGUCC